UACGGAGGGUGCAAGCGUUAUCCGGAUUCACUGGGUUUAAAGGGAGCGCAGGCGGGCUGGUAAGUCAGUGGUGAAAGCCUUGAGCUUAACUCGAGAACUGCCAUUGAUACUAUCAGUCUUGAAUAUUGUUGAGGUUUGCGGAAUGGGUCAUGUAGCGGUGAAAUGCAUUGAUAUGACCCGGAACACCUAUUGCGAAGGCAGCAGGCUAAACAAAGAUUGACGCUGAGGCUCGAAAGCGUGGGGAUCAAACAGG
rnacentral:rRNA from 1 species